UACGUAGGGUGCGAGCGUUAAUCGGAAUUACUGGGCGUAAAGGGCGCGUAGGCGGCAAUUCAAGUCAUCUGUGAAAUCUCCGGGCUUAACUCGGAAUGGUCAGGUGAUACUGCUUUGCUAGAGUGCAGAAGGGGCAAUCGGAAUUCUUGGUGUAGCGGUGAAAUGCGUAGAUAUCAAGAGGAACACCUGAGGUGAAGACGGGUUGCUGGGCUGACACUGACGCUGAGGCGCGAAAGCUAGGGGAGCAAACGGG
rnacentral:rRNA from 1 species